rnacentral:rRNA from 1 species
GAUGAACGCUAGCGGGAGGCCUAACACAUGCAAGCCGAGCGGUAUUUGUUCUUCGGAACAGAGAGAGCGGCGCACGGGUGCGGAACACGUGUGCAACCUGCCUUUAUCUGGGGGAUAGCCUUUCGAAAGGAAGAUUAAUACCCCAUAAUAUAUUGAGUGGCAUCACUUGAUAUUGAAAACUCCGGUGGAUAGAGAUGGGCACGCGCAAGAUUAGAUAGUUGGUGAGGUAACGGCUCACCAAGUCAAUGAUCUUUAGGGGGCCUGAGAGGGUGAUCCCCCACACUGGUACUGAGACACGGACCAGACUCCUACGGGAGGCAGCAGUGAGGAAUAUUGAACAAUGGGUCAGCGCCUGAUCCAGCCAUCCCGCGUGAAGGACGACGGCCCUAUGGGUUGUAAACUUCUUUUGUAUAGGGAUAAACCUACUCUCGUGAGAGUAGCUGAAGGUACUAUACGAAUAAGCACCGGCUAACUCCGUG